UACGAAGGGGGCUAGCGUUGUUCGGAAUUACUGGGCGUAAAGCGCACGUAGGCGGGUUGUUAAGUCAGGGGUGAAAUCCUGGAGCUCAACUCCAGAACUGCCUUUGAUACUGGCAACCUAGAGACUGGAAGAGGUUAGUGGAAUUCCCAGUGUAGAGGUGAAAUUCGUAGAUAUUGGGAAGAACACCAGUGGCGAAGGCGGCUCUCUGGGACGGUACUGACGCUGAGACGCGAAAGCGUGGGGAGCGAACAGG
rnacentral:rRNA from 1 species